CCUACGGGAGGCAGCAGUGGGGAAUUUUGGACAAUGGGCGCAAGCCUGAUCCAGCCAUGCCGCGUGCGGGAAGAAGGCCUUCGGGUUGUAAACCGCUUUUGUCAGGGAAGAAAUCCUUUGAGCUAAUACCUCGGAGGGAUGACGGUACCUGAAGAAUAAGCACCGGCUAACUACGUGCCAGCAGCCGCGGUAAUACGUAGGGUGCGAGCGUUAAUCGGAAUUACUGGGCGUAAAGCGUGCGCAGGCGGUUAUGCAAGACAGAUGUGAAAUCCCCGGGGCUUAACCCUGGGAACUGCAUUUGUGACUGCAUAGCUCGAGUACGGGCAGAGGGGGGUAUGGAAUUCCGCGUGUAGCAGUGAAAUGCGUAGAUAUGCGGAGGAACACCGAUGGCGAAGGCAAUCCCCUGGGCCUGUACUGACGNUC
rnacentral:rRNA from 1 species